rnacentral:rRNA from 1 species
CCUACGGGGUGCAGCAGUGGGGAAUAUUGGACAAUGGGCGAAAGCCUGAUCCAGCCAUGCCGCGUGUGUGAAGAAGGCCUUCGGGUUGUAAAGCACUUUCAGUGGGGAAGAAAGCCUUGGGGCUAAUACCCUCGAGGAAGGACAUCACCCACAGAAGAAGCACCGGCUAACUCCGUGCCAGCAGCCGCGGUAAUACGGAGGGUGCGAGCGUUAAUCGGAAUUACUGGGCGUAAAGCGCGCGUAGGCGGUCUGAUAAGCCGGUUGUGAAAGCCCCGGGCUCAACCUGGGAACGGCAUCCGGAACUGUCAGGCUAGAGUGCAGGAGAGGAAGGUAGAAUUCCCGGUGUAGCGGUGAAAUGCGUAGAGAUCGGGAGGAAUACCAGUGGCGAAGGCGGCCUUCUGGACUGACACUGACGCUGAGGUGCGAAAGCGUGGGUAGCAAACAGGAUUAGAUACCCCUGUAGU